AUUGAACGCUGGCGGCAUGCCUUACACAUGCAAGCCGAACGGUAACGCGGGGCAACCUGGCGACGAGUGGCGAACGGGUGAGUAAUGUAUCGGAACGUGCCCAGUUGUGGGGGAUAACUGCUCGAAAGAGCAGCUAAUACCGCAUACGACCUGAGGGUGAAAGCGGGGGAUCGCAAGACCUCGCGCAAUUGGAGCGGCCGAUAUCAGAUUAGGUAGUUGGUGGGGUAAAGGCUCACCAAGCCAGCGAUCUGUAGCUGGUGUGAGAGGACGACCAGCCACACUGGGACUGAGACACGGCCCAGACUCCUACGGGAGGCAGCAGUGGGGAAUUUUGGACAAUGGACGCCAGUCUGAUCCAGCCAUGCCGCGUGCGGGAAGAAGGCCUUCGGGUUGUAAACCGCUUUUGUCAGGGAAGAAACGCUCUGGGCUAAUACCUCGGGGUAAUGACGGUACCUGAAGAAUAAGCACCGGCUAACUACGUGCCAGCCGCCGCGGUAACAC
rnacentral:rRNA from 1 species